rnacentral:rRNA from 1 species
AACGAACGCUGGCGGCAGGCUUAACACAUGCAAGUCGAACGCCCCGCAAGGGGAGUGGCAGACGGGUGAGUAACGCGUGGGAACAUACCCUUUUCUACGGAAUAGCUCUGGGAAACUGGAAUUAAUACCGUAUACGCCCUACGGGGGAAAGAUUUAUCGGGGAAGGAUUGGCCCGCGUUGGAUUAGCUAGUUGGUGGGGUAAAGGCCUACCAAGGCGACGAUCCAUAGCUGGUCUGAGAGGAUGAUCAGCCACAUUGGGACUGAGACACGGCCCAAACUCCUACGGGAGGCAGCAGUGGGGAAUAUUGGACAAUGGGCGCAAGCCUGAUCCAGCCAUGCCGCGUGAGUGAUGAGGGCCUUAGGGUUGUAAAGCUCUUUCACCGAUGAAGAUAAUGACGGUAGUCGGAGAAGAAGCCCCGGCUAACUUCGUG